AUUGAACGCUGGCGGCCUGCCUUACACAUGCAAGUCGAACGGCAGCACGGGGGCAACCCUGGUGGCGAGUGGCGAACGGGUGAGUAACGCAUCGGAAUGUACCCAGUAGUGGGGGAUAACUAGUCGAAAGACUGGCUAAUACCGCAUACGCACUACGGUGGAAAGCGGGGGAUCGCAAGACCUCGCGCUCUUGGAGCAGCCGAUGUCCGAUUAGGUAGUUGGUGUGGUAAAAGCCUACCAAGCCUGCGAUCGGUAGCUGGUCUGAGAGGACGACCAGCCACACUGGGAAUGAGACACGGCCCAGACUCCUACGGGAGGCAGCAGUGGGGAAUUUUGGACAAUGGGGGCAACCCUGAUCCAGCAAUGCCGCGUGUGUGAAGAAGGCCUUCGGGUUGUAAAGCACUUUUGGUGGGAACGAAACGGCGCUUGCUAAUACCAGGCGCUAAUGACGGUACCCGCAGAAUAAGCACCGGCUAACUACGUGCCAGCCGCCGCCGUAA
rnacentral:rRNA from 1 species